AUGCCGCCGCCCUCGCUCCUCUCCCUCCUCCCCGCCGCGUCGGUCUCCGCGCGGACCCGCCGAGCCAAGCGCAGAGCCCCUGCCGCGAGCCUCCGCAUCCCCGUCCUCCUCAGCGCGCGAGCUCCCACGCCGCUCCGCUCCCUACCCGCCUCCUCCGAUGUGGUCGAGGGCGGGGGUGGAGGGGGAGGAGGCGAGGAGCUCCACCUGCUCGACAAGCCGUUCCCGUCCCCCUCCGCGCCGGAGGAGGACGAGCCCGAGCCGGAGGCCGCCCCGGCGCCGUCCACGGCCGAGGCGCUCGCGCCCUACCUCAACUUCUUCCAGGUGAAGGGCGCCGACGCCUCCGCCGCCGGGAAGCACGCCUCGGAGGACGGGGCCGUGUCGGCCGGGCGCGGGGUCAUCUACUACGACCCCAAGCCCGGGGACCUGGUCGUGGGCGUCGUCGUCGGGGGCGACGCGCGGGCAAUCGACGUCGACGUCGGCGCCGGAGGCGAGCCGGCGCUGAUGCUGACCAAGGAGGCGGCGCCUGCGUCCUCGGAGGAGUUCGCUUACCUGGCGUGCGACGUCGCGUCGGGCGGCGCGAGGGAGUUCGCCGCGGAAGGCAGGGUCGGCGUCGCGGCCGGCGGAGUGGGCGCGAGGGUUGGGAGGACCGGGAAGGAGAAAUGUGCGCCGGUGGUGGGCGUUGGCACGGUGGUGUUCGCCGAGGUCCUCGGCCGAACACUUGGUGGGCGGCCGCUGCUGUCUUCGCGAAGGCUGUUCCGGCGCGUCGCGUGGCACAGAGUGAGGCAGAUAAAGCAGCUAAAUGUACCUAUCAAGGUUAAAAUUUCUGAGUGGAAUGCUGGAGGCUUGUUGUCAAGAAUUGAGGGGCUCCGGGCCUUCCUACCUAAGCCUCAGAUGAUGACUAGACCAAGAAAUUUUACAGAUCUAAAGAACAAUGUUGGUCGACAGAUACAUGUCUGUAUUACAAAGAUUGACGAAAGGACUAACGAAUUAAUAAUUAGUGAAAAGGAGGCUUGGGCAAUGUUAUACCUUAAAGAAGGGGCUCUCUUGGAAGGGACAGUCCGCAAGUUGUUCCCAUAUGGUGCACAAAUUAGGAUUGGGGAGACUAACAGAAGUGGUUUGCUGCAUGACUCAAAGAUAACACACGGUCAGCUGAGAUCCGUCAGUGACGCGCUCAGCGUGGGCGAGAGAGUGAAAGCGCUUGUGAUCAAGUCGACGACGCCAGACAGAAUUGCUCUUAGUAUUAGGGACCUUGAGAGCGAGCCUGGACUGUUUCUCUCCAACAAAGAGAAGGUGUUCGCCGAGGCUGAAGAGAUGGCGCGAAGAUACCGGGAGCAAAUGCCGGCGACGCCUCGGUCUGGCGAGGGGCCCGACGGCGGCUACGACGAUACCGUCCCGUUCGAGGACGAAGCGGAGUCGUACGCCAACUGGAAGUGGCUGAAGUUCAUCAAGUCCGACAGAGCAGACUGUAACCCCAGUGUCACCGAAUCAUCGGGAUUGUAA
rnacentral:rRNA from 1 species